rnacentral:misc_RNA from 1 species
AAGUCGUAACAAGGUUUCCGUAGGUGAACCUGCGGAAGGAUCAUUAACACGUAUCCAACGUUAAACCCCCCCCGUGAACGUACAUUCCUUCUCCGCUUACAGAAAAUUGGUGCUGUAAGGUAGACUGCUUUAACGAGCGGGUACCAGUAGGCCGACACGGCCGGUAUCGGAUCCUGGGCGUCGUUCCUAUAGGAACGAGUACACGUCCCUCUUGACCCCUUGAAACGACAGGGUGUCGCGAAAACGUGGUAAGGCAUGAUUUUACUUGUACCGAAAGGUCCAAGUACUAACUGAACAACUGUUAACAAUGGAUAUCUUGGUUCUC